AAUUUUUAUUUACCAUCAUAUUAAUAUGAAUAUUUUAGUCCAUUUGAAAUAACUUUCCCUUUUACUUUGCAUUAAUUAUGGUAUCUUAAUAUUAAAGACUGAUUUUCCUAAAUAUGAUAAUUUUCAGAAAGAUAAUUUCCUUGGUUGGGAAAUAAUUAUUAUAUUACUCAAAAAAUAGUUUAGACAAGGUCAAUUUACCAUGUGAAUGCCUUUUUAUAGCUACGCACCCACUUCAGGGGAAGCUGGCUUCUGGUUCAUAUAGGCUUGACUUCAGGAUAUGCACAAAUUCCCCAUCCAGUCAUCUUUGGUUAGAAUAGUAGGGCGGUGUCCUUCCAUUUUGGUGUCAUGAAUGUUAAUCACUCCUGAUCAAAGUUACUCUUCUCAGAAGGGCGGAAUGUGACUGACAGAUGUGGCGAGGCCUUAUGGACUUCACUGCAAUCUGCAAUGGAGUGAAGAAGAAAGACAAUUUGGGUUGGGUUAUGUUUGCUUUGAGAAGCCACUGGGACUUCAAACUGGAGCCAUUCAACAGGCACUUGUAGAGACGUGUGCAUGUAUAAAGGAACUCAGGAGGAGUUCGUGGCCAUGAGUUGUGCUUUAGGCAGGAUGCCACUUUAGAAUGUCUCUAAGAUGCCCACUUCCUGGUGUACACAUCCUGUAUAAGCCCCUUCCUUAAGUGUGAGUGAGACUUGUGAGUCCACUGGUAUUUUAAGUCCGUGACUCGAUUACUAAUUAGUUAACUCUGAGUUAAUCAAAAGGAGAUUAGACUGGGUGAGCCCUGAAAAGAGGAACUGGGUCCUUGCUGAACGGAGAGAUCUUCCUGCUGGCCUUGAAGAACUAAGUGGCUAUUUGGUGAGAAAAACCUAUGGAGAAGGCCACAGAACAAGGACCCGAGGAUGUUAUCUCCUAGGAGAUAACAGUGGUCCCUGGCUACUGUCAGCAGGAAAACAGGCACAUCAACCACAGCUGCAAGAAAUCAAACUUAGCCACCAACAGCCAUGUGUACCUGGAAGAGGACACCGAGCCUCAGCACUCUCUUCUUUGUGAAGAUUGUGUAUCCUGGGCAGCUGUCCUCACUCUGGCUGGAAUAAGACUCUCUUCCCUUUUUUCUUUUUUGUUUUUUAAAGAAAUUCUAAAAGGUUUGUGUGUCAUUUUGUGUCAAUGGGACCCAGCUAAGCCACGUCCAGAAUUCUGAGCCAAGAAACCGCUAAUAAAUUGUGUCACUUUAAUGAAUAAAUAAAUUUGUUACACAGAAAUAGAAAUGUAGUUUUUGGAGUCAUCAGAACACUUGUGAUCAUUGGAACCACAGGGUGUGUGAGAUUAAACAUGAAGACUGCAUGCACCCAGAAAUGAGGAGAGGGCCUGAGCGAAUUCCUAAAGAAGACUGAUGUUUAACAGACAAAAGAGGAAGAGAAGCUGAAGGGGCUGGCCAGCAAAGGAGGAAGAAAACCAGCAGAAUAUGAUGGGAUGCACUGCUUUGUUCCUCUCCUGGCCUCCUUUUUCCUCUAAGACAGGAACCUCUACACCCUUACUCAUUGUUCUGUUGGUGAGAUUGGCAAAAGUAAGCCCAUCUCAGCCUUUCUGGACUUUGUCUCUUUCUCAGGAUUGACAUGACCACAGGCCAAGUGUCUUCUCUCCAUCCUACCUUGGUCAAGCUGCCUGUGAUGAGGCAGAAGCAAGAGGGGGAGGGGUCUGCAAUUAUAAACCGUUAACUGGCUGAGACAGAGGGAGCUACGAUUUCAUGUUAUUUCAUCUAGUUAUAGAACUCCAAGUUGAUGGACUUUUAAAAAUUAUUUCAUUACUUUGACAAUAGCACCUCAUUCUCCAUCCAUUUGCAUUGUUUCUACUGAAAAUGACUGAAACUUUCAUAACAGUGACUAAAAUGUUCAUCAUCAUCACCACCACCAUCAUCAUCAUCAUCAUCAUCAUCACAAUAAUAUAAUAGUACUAGUAAGAGGAGCUUUUCCUGGUUUUAUGUCUGACUUAGGAAGAGUACCGUUAACAUUCUUACAAUGAGGAAGCCACUGAAGGGUUUUCAGCAGGGGAGCAGCCAGAGGAGGUUUGUGAUUCGAAAGAUCAUUCUGCCCACUGUGGGGCCAGGCGGCGGGAAGAACAGCACAGGCGGCUGGGCUGCCAGUCCCCCUGUGACUUCCAAGGGCCCAGCUGUUGGGCAAGAGAGACUUGGGGACUGGACGUGGGCCAGAUCAGGAGAACCGAGUCAGCUGCGGUGUAAAGCUGUUCCUGAUGGGAGCUUGCAGUGUGAGGAGCAGCAGUAUCAGAGGAUUUUGCCUGAUGAUUCUGUCCAAGCUCAAUAUCCUAGAUGUGCCCAGUAUAACUGGCACUUGUUUGAAUAAGAUGAGGCCGACAUAAGGGUUUGUUGAGAUGAGAGGUUAGCCAAGACCUAGGAUUAAGAGAUAAAACACUCCCCCCAGCAUAAGGGUGCUGGGAUAUGGCAACAGGACUGUCACAGAAGGUCAUAUAGUCUGUGUGUACACAGCCUCAAGGAGUCCAAUUCACAUGAAGAGCAUUCCUUGGAAUUCUGCAGUUCUGUGGGCACCACUGUCUGGGAAUCUGAAUAGGAUUCCAGUCCCAUUAAGCAGCUGAAAACAGUAGAGAGAACUGAGGUAGAAAACUGUGCGUAUUAACUGGGUCAACUUGGUGAGGGUACGGAGGAAAGUGCAGAACAAAAGGUGUCAAGCAUUCCUGGGUUCAUCCCUGGAACACGGUCCCACAAAAUUAAGCCUAAUUCCAGAUUUCAGCUAUAAUCAUAACAAUUACUAGUGUACUCUAAGGAAGAUAGACCAAGGAUAGACCAGGUAAUGGGUUCGGCCAGUAAACCUGAGUGAGAAGGCCCUGAGCGAUGGCAUUGAGACAGAGGACAAGAUAACACUUUCUUCAGGGUCACACUCUUCCUACACUUCAAUAAGCCACAAGCCUUCUUUUCCUUCCUCCUUCCUCUUUUCUUUCUUCCCAUCUCCUCUCCCAUUCAUCCAUUUCCUUUGCCCAUGUCUUCAUGUAACUUCUAAGGUCCCCGGCUCUGUGGUUGUGUCUGAGUGCUAAUGAAGUCAUCAAACUCUUGUUACCACCCGCCCCCCGCCCAAGCAGGACCGCCAAGCUACUGUGCCUCUGCACUCCAGAGCAGGGCUGCCCGGAGACUCAUUGCGAGACAUUUAUCUGCCACAGAACAAUGGCAUCUGCUGCUGAGAAGAAAUUAAAGCUACUGCUAAGUAGAGCAGCACAGCACGUAAUAGUCUUGUUGAACAAGGGAGGGUGUUUGAUGGUGAUGGUUGGGAAGCUAGGACUGAUAAAGGUCUUCACCCAUAUUGCCUGCAAUCCCCAAGCAGCUGGCUGCGCAGCUGCUGUGGAGUCUGGCACACUCCAUGCUGCUGGACGCCAAAGAGCACAUUCAGGUGGUGGGGAAGAUCCAAAAAGGCAGGAAACAGCUUGACCAGGACAAGCUCUCCCUGCCUAUCAACAUGGGGCCAUGAAAGGAAAAAUCUGGGAAGGGACAAUAUGGAGGGCAGGGGAACAGUUUAACCAAAUUUGCUGCAGUGAGAUCAAAAACAGGAUGUGAAUUAGAUGUGACAACCCUUCCCACUACAACAGGACCGUUGUCAAGUAAAAUAACCUUCGUGAAUUGGCUAAAAACCCCACGGCAGGACAACUGACCUCUUGGUCAUUUGGCAGUCACAGAAGCUAAAAACUAGCUCCAAUUAAGUUUCAAAACAAGACAAAAAGCAUUGUGAGUAACAAACAUUAUCAUUUCUCUGAGGCAAAGGCUUCUAUUUUUCCUUUGAUGACCUUGGAACAAUGAAUUACUGAGUUCCCUCUGCAGAGGGUAAACUGUGCAACUUCCAACUUUUCUGCUAUGGCUCUAUUCCCUCCAGGCCUCUGGCCGGGGUGGAACAGCUGGGAAGGGCACCAGCACCAGACCGUGGUGUGGGAAGAAGGGCAAAACCUGGGUAUGAAUAUCAAUUUCCCUGCAUAUUAGCUAGGUGACUUUGAUCUAAUCACCUAAUCACCCCAAGAUCAUUUUGUUGGUUUAAAAAGAUAAUAACAAGGAUAUAUAUAUAUAUAUAUAUAUAUAUAUAUAUAUAUAUAUAUGUCAAUAGGCUUAUGUAAGGGUUAAUUGAAAAAAAAAUCUAUGUGAAUGCACUCUGCACAAUGCCUGGACAAUUUCAGGGAGUUAGCAAACAUUAAUUCAUUUCAUCUUCCCUGUUAAAAAUCUCUCCAUAUCCCCAGAAACUAACAGAGCACUUGGAAUACAGUAGAGGUUCAAUACAUGAAUGUGUAGCUUAGUAUCCUGGACAGCAUGAGCAGUGUUCUCUCACAAACCACUAUAAUUUCUGAAUGUGCUGUAAUUAUUUGGCCUUCUAGGAAAACAAGAGUGCACAAUUGAAGUUUACUUAUUCACUCAACAAUAUAUCUUAGUUGUCCACUUUGCAUUAGAAACUGUGUUAGGCCUUGGAGAUGCAGCAGUGAAAAAGACAAACAUGAUCCUUACCUGUGUCACUCAGGAUGCUUUUGGUUCCAUGUCACAGAACACCUGGCUCAAAGUGACUUAAAUAAUAAAAAGGGGAUAUUGCCUUAUACAACUGGAAAAGCUGAAGGCAAAACCAGCUUCAGGCUGGUUUGAUUCAUCAACCCACUAAGGUCACUGCAGACUCCGUUUCUUUCUAUCGCCGCUCUGCCUUCUGCAGCAAGCAGUCAUAUGAUAAGGCUGGUUGCUAUCAAGGUUGUAAGAUGGCCGCCAAGGUUACAUACUUUUUCUUCCAUACGCAGAAGUUUCCAUUUUCUGGAGGCGCCCUGUCAAUCUCUCUUUGUGUCUCACUGGCGUUAAUUGAGUCAUACACAUUCUUGAAUAUACCAUAGAUGAGAUCGGAU